rnacentral:lncRNA from 1 species
AGAGAGCCAUCAUUUGGAAUUUUUAUUUAGAGUUGAAGCAUAUGUUGCAUGCUUGAUUCUACUGACUUGUCUCAAGGUGUCACGCUUCGAACCCAACACUUGGGUCCGGUUAUGUGAUACAACCACAUACUCUCUAGGGUGGGGCUCUAGAGAAUAUGCUAAGCCUCAAAAUUUGUCACAACCGCAAUAUCCAUGAACAAUAAUGACUUCAGUUCAUAACAAAUAACAAACUUGUAUAGAACUAAAGUCAUUCAUCCAACCCGUAACAAUGAUGCCCUAUCUAUUUAUUCCUUUUUCUUGCGAUCUCAACCAUAGCCAAGCAACCAUAACCAAGUACUAAGCAACUUGCAAUCUACAACUCUGAAAAGAAACGGGGAAGGGGGUUGCGAGCUUUACAUUGCAGUAAGAAUCUCUGCACAUUCACAUCAAUAUAAUAAUAUAAUUUGAAAAUAGCAAUAAGCAACACCAAAAUAAAAAUAUAAAUUAUGAAACCACUUUUCAAACAUCCAGUAUAACUCAAUUAAACCAAC